AGAGUUUGAUCCUGGCUCAGGAUAAACGCUGGCGGCGCACAUAAGACAUGCAAGUCGAACGGACUUAACCUUUAGUUUACUAAUGGAGCGGUUAGUGGCGGACUGGUGAGUAACGCGUAAGCAAUCUGCCUAUCAGAGGGGAAUAACAGUGAGAAAUCACUGCUAAUACCGCAUAAGCUGUGAGUAUCGCAUGAUACAAAUAGAAAAGGAGCAAUCCGUUGAUAGAUGAGCUUGCGUCUGAUUAGUUAGUUGGUGAGGUAACGGCCCACCAAGACGAUGAUCAGUAGCCGG
rnacentral:rRNA from 1 species